rnacentral:rRNA from 1 species
AGAGCGAACGCUGGCGGCAGGCCUAACACAUGCAAGUCGAACGGAUCCUUCGGGAUUAGUGGCGGACGGGUGAGUAACACGUGGGAACGUGCCCUUUGGUUCGGAACAACUCAGGGAAACUUGAGCUAAUACCGGAUAAGCCCUACGGGGGAAAGAUUUAUCGCCAUUGGAGCGGCCCGCGUCUGAUUAGCUAGUUGGUGAGGUAAAGGCUCACCAAGGCUACGAUCAGUAGCUGGUCUGAGAGGAUGAUCAGCCACAUUGGGACUGAGACACGGCCCAAACUCCUACGGGAGGCAGCAGUGGGGAAUCUUGCGCAAUGGGCGAAAGCCUGACGCAGCCAUGCCGCGUGAAUGAUGAAGGUCUUAGGAUUGUAAAAUUCUUUCAGCAGGGACGAUAAUGACGGUACCUGCAGAAGAAGCCCCGGCUAACUUCGUGCCAGCAGCCGC